CGCCCCGACCGCACUCCCUUAUAACCUCUCUCAACCGCCUCAACCUUCCAGUCUGCGUAACCUCCGAUCAUAGGUCCACGUCACAUGGCCUGAUCUAUCGUCAUGGUGCGCCUGCGCAGCUCUCACGAUGGGGCGUGGCUUACUUUCAGGUGCUAGUUGUAAGACUCGGCAGCAGUCCUGGGCGCCAUCUUGGGAUUGCCGCUGCACCUGUUCCCCACACUGUGAAAAAUUUCAAACGGCACUACAGCACUGAUUUGAAAAAUUCUGGGGCAAAGAACUCUUGUCUAUUCAUGUAACUAUAUAUGUUUUAAAGCUACCAUAAUUAAAACCCUGCUAAAAAGGGUGUAGGGAGGAGCAUCAAAAGCAAGGGAGAAGAACGGGGCGCGCAGGACUUUCUGGAAACUGUCACAAAAUGGAUUGCUGCAUAAUGGUAUCUUUUCUCAUUUCCUCCCAGAAUACUGACAUACACAGAAGUUUGUAUAUCUGACCAAAAUGUGUUCUAUCACUGGUAUAUGACAUGCAUAAUAGUUAUAGUCUGUCAUAAAGCCAAAUAAAUAAAUGUAAUCUGUUGUAUUUAAAUAGCAAAA